UCCCUGGUGGCUCAGAGGGUAAAGAAUCUGCCUGCAAUGCAGGAAACCCAGGUUCGAUCCCUGGGUCGGGAA
rnacentral:tRNA from 1 species